UACAGAGGGUGCAAGCGUUAAUCGGAUUUACUGGGCGUAAAGCGUGCGCAGGCGGUUGUGCAAGACCGGUGUGAAAUCCCCGGGCUUAACCUGGGAAUGGCAUUGGUGACUGCACGGCUAGAAUCUGGCAGAGGGGGGUAGAAUUCCACGUGUAGCAGUGAAAUGCGUAGAGAUGUGGAGGAAUACCGAUGGCGAAGGCAGCCUCCUGGGCCAACACUGACGCUCAUGCACGAAAGCGUGGGGAGCAAACAGG
rnacentral:rRNA from 1 species